GCCGGGCCCCCCUGCCUCGUCCUGCCCGCGCGUCGGGGCCGGCGCGGUGCUGCUGGCGCGGCCCGGACAGUGGCAGGUGUGCCACCUUGGAGGUUUCUUUUUGAAGUUUCAACUGAUAUACAAACUUAUUGUGAGUUACCUGCCCUGUCACUACGGCGGUGGGAGAGACUGAAGACGAGAGCAACGCCAAGUCCGAAGACUUCAAAUGAAAAAAGCUGGCUGGGAGAACUUUGCCGAGAAGAGAUCCGCAGCAGAGCCGCGGUGGAAAUGGCUCCAGCAACACAGUUGCAAUUCUCGCAGCUGUGUGAGAGAGCCGGGGGUAAAUGCUGCCCCUGUGCAGCUGAUCCCUCUCAGAAGAACGGAGUUUGGGCAAGAAGUACUGUCUGGAGAUCUAAGAAUAUACAUGAAGUCAUCAUUACUGAUGGAAGGAAGCAGGGGAAAGCUGCAAAACUACUGGAGAACUGCACAUUCAUUAUGUGCAAAAAAAGAAAAAAGAAAAAAAAGAAAAAGAAAGAAAAAGAGAAAGUAGUAUUAGGACUACACUACUGCAAUCCAAUGCCACUCCUGUGCACUGACUGCGUGAAUGAAAGCAACUUCAUUGUGCUAAGAGAAGGAUCAUUUGCAGCAACGGAAGGACUGAAGAGUAGUGAUGGAUUAGCAAAAGGCAGAGAAGAGUCAAGAGAAUGUGGGAGACAGAAAUUGGUAUGAUUCUGCAGUUUAGUUCACCUUCAUGCUAGGAUAAAUCUUACUAAAAUAAGGAAAUAAACUACUAUAAUUUCUGCUGAGAGGAUACUGUACACUCCUUAAAUCUGUUUAGCAAUGAUAUAGUCAACUACAAAUUCAGAACUUGACUUCAAUCUGAGAGAAUUGUAAGUACUAUGUAUCGUAUUUCCAGGUGAAAAAUUUUAAUUAUCUUCAGUUCUCACCCUUUGAAUCUAUGAACAGCCAUUAUCUGUAAAGAACGCUCAGACAACUAACAAAAUGGCCAUUUGCAUUGAAGUUCCCUACUGAAUUUUGUCUUUUGCUUUACAUAAGAAACACUGUUUUCUUUGGCAUAGCCAUAUGCAUUCUUUCAUCAGUCAUAUAAAGAAAGAC
ensembl:lncRNA